rnacentral:rRNA from 1 species
GAUGAACGCUGGCGGCGUGCCUAACACAUGCAAGUCGAGCGAUUCUCUUCGGAGAAGAGCGGCGGACGGGUGAGUAACGCGUGGGUAACCUGCCCUGUACACACGGAUAACAUACCGAAAGGUAUGCUAAUACGAGAUAAUAUACUUUUAUCGCAUGGUAGAAGUAUCAAAGCUCCGGCGGUACAGGAUGGACCCGCGUCUGAUUAGCUAGUUGGUAAGGUAACGGCUUACCAAGGCGACGAUCAGUAGCCGACCUGAGAGGGUGAUCGGCCACAUUGGAACUGAGACACGGUCCAAACUCCUACGGGAGGCAGCAGUGGGGAAUAUUGCACAAUGGGCGAAAGCCUGAUGCAGCAACGCCGCGUGAGCGAUGAAGGCCUUCGGUCGUAAGCUCUGUCUCAGAAGAUAAUGACGGUACUUGAGGAGGAAGCCCGGCGUAACUACGUGCCAGCAGCCGCGGUAAGUCAUACUCGUA